UGGCUCAGUGGCAGAGCAUUUGCCUACCAUGCAUGAGGCCCUGGGUUCACUCCCCAG
rnacentral:tRNA from 1 species